rnacentral:misc_RNA from 1 species
AGCAGCCGCGGUAAUUCCAGCUCCAAUAGCGUAUAUUAAAGUUGUUGCAGUUAAAAAGCUCGUAGUUGAAUUUCGGGAUCAAUUUAUUGGUCGUGCUAUUGUACGUACUGGUAUUAUUGAUUCCUACCUUCUGACGAACCAUGAUGUCAUUAAUUUGGUGUCUUGGGGAAUCAGGACUGUUACUUUGAAAAAUUAGAGUGUUUAAAGCAGGCUCACGCUUGAAUACAUUAGCAUGGAAUAACGAAAUAGGACGUUUGAUUCUAUUUUGUUGGUUUCUAGGAUCGACGUAAUGAUUAAUAGGGAUAGUUGGGGGCAUUAGUAUUCAAUUGUCAGAGGUGAAAUUCUUGGAUUUAUUGAAGACUAACUACUGCGAAAGCAUUUGCCAAGGAUGUUUUCAUUAAUCAAGAACGAAAGUUAGGGGAUCGAAGACGAUCAGAUACCGUCGUAGUCUUAACCAUAAACUAUGCCGACUAGGGAUCGGAUGAUGUUAAUUUUUAAUGACUCAUUCGGCGCCUU